rnacentral:lncRNA from 1 species
AUAUGUUAAUACAUCCUUACAUGUAUUUAUUUUGAAGCAUUUUUCUUUUUAAAAUGAUUUCAUAAAUUUUAAUAAUAUAAAAUAGUAACAAAAUAGCACUUCAUCGUUUCAAGGAUGUUUCAUAAAGACCAACGUGGAGAGGCUGUUUCAAUCUACAAAAUUACGUGUACAUAAAUAUAUAUAUACACUUUUAUAUGUGUAUGUACCACACAAGUAAACUAUCACACGACUCCUCCCUCUCCCCCCUUCCCCCCCCCCAAAAAAAAAAAAACAUGUUUUAAAAGACUGAGCUAACCACGCAUAUAAGUUAAUUCAAAAAAACAAAAGCAAAAAAAAAAAAUGGAUCAUAAAUAUAGUCCUGUACUGGAUGAUAUAGAAAAUAAUAAAUCAACUAUUACCUAUUUAAAUGAAGAAGAAGAUCCUUCAAAAAAUAAAAUAAAAUAUAAUUAUGAAUCUAGGCGUACAGAAGAGUUGUCGUUAAACAAUAUAUAUGGGAAGAUUGUAAAAAUAAGAAAAGAGUUAGAAAAGUCAUAUAAUUUAUAUUAUUCUUAUAAUCUGAUUGUUAAUAAUAAUGACAUAGAAAAAGAUAUAGACACAUCUUUGAACAUGUACAAUAAUAUAAAUAGAAGGAAUGACAUUAUUAAUCCUACUACUAAUAGCUCGAUAAAUAAUUUAACAUUGAAUAAAAUUAAUGCCUUAACUAAUUCAUUUUAUAUGAAUAUAGGUACAUUAAAAAAUGCAUAUGCUUUUAUAAAUAGCAAUAAUAUGAAUAAUAGUAUAAUAAAUAAUGAGAAUGUGAUUUGGGAGAAACGUAUAGAAACCUUAACAAAUGAAUCAAAUGUUUAUAUUAAAACAUUAGAUAAUAUUUAUAAAAAUAAUUUAAAACAGUCUGAACAAAAUAAAAAAAAAAAUAUGAGUAGUACAUAUGAAAAUAAUAAAAAAAAAAAAAAAAAUACACUUUCUAAUGAAUCUGCUAUAAGUUAUUUACAUCAAGAAAAAGAAAUAUUAAAACAAAUAGAAGAUAGUUUAAAUGUUUUUUAUACUCAGGGUGUUAAUACUUUGAAUAAUUUAAGAAGACAAAAUAAAUUUUUAAAAGGAGUUCGUAAAAAAAUUAUAGAUAUAUCAAACUAUAUAGGCUUGUCAAUGUCUUUAGUUGAUAUGAUUAAAAAAACACAUAAACAAAACUUGAUAAUUGUGAUUGUUGGUAUGGUUUUAGUGUUACUUUUUUUUUAUUUUUUAUAUUCUUAUUUUAAAUAGUUAUUACUUGUGUGGGCAUGUACGUGUAUGUGUAUAGGUUUAUAUUUUUACGU